rnacentral:rRNA from 1 species
GGCUCAGAACGAACGCUGGCGGCGUGCCUAACACAUGCAAGUCGAGCGAGAAAGCCCGCAAGGGUGAGUAAAGCGGCGCACGGGUGCGUAACACGUGGGUAAUCUGCCCUGAGGUCCGGAAUAACUUCCCGAAAGGGAUGCUAAUGCCGGAUGAGACCACGGGAGCCUCGGCUCCUGCGGGAAAAGGUGGCCUCUGUACACAAGCUAUCGCUUCAGGAUGAGCCCGCGGCCCAUCAGCUCGUUGGCGGGGUAAUGGCCCACCAAGGCUACGACGGGUAGCUGGUCUGAGAGGACGAUCAGCCACACUGGAACUGAGACACGGUCCAGACUCCUACGGGAGGCAGCAGUGGGGAAUCUUGCGCAAUGGGCGAAAGCCUGACGCAGCAACGCCGCGUGUGUGAUGAAGGUCUUCGGAUCGUAAAGCACUGUCGCGAGGGACGAAUAAGGGGCGGGCUAACAUCCCGUUCCGAUGACGGUACCUCGAGAGGAAGCACCGGCUAACUCUGUGCCAGCAGCCGCGGUAAUACAGAGGGUGCAAGCGUUGUUCGGAAUUAUUGGGCGUAAAGCGCGUGUAGGCGGCUCAGCAAGUCAGGUGUGAAAGCCCUCGGCUUAACCGAGGAAGUGCGCCUGAAACUACUGAGCUUGAGUGCCGGAGAGGGUGGCGGAAUUCCCGGUGUAGAGGUGAAAUUCGUAGAUAUCGGGAGGAACACCAGCGGCGAAGGCGGCCACCUGGACGGUAACUGACGCUGAGACGCGAAAGCGUGGGGAGCAAACAGGAUUAGAUACCCUGGUAGUCCACGCUGUAAACGAUGAGCGCUAGGUGUUGUGGGUGUUGACCCCCGCAGUGCCGCAGCUAACGCAUUAAGCGCUCCGCC